rnacentral:rRNA from 1 species
UACGUAGGCAGCGAGCGUUGUUCGGAGUUACUGGGCGUAAAGAGUGCGUAGGCGGUUUUCUAAGUUUGGUGUGAAAUCUCCCGGCUUAACUGGGAGGGUGCGCCGAAGACUGGAAGGCUUGAGUAUGGGAGAGGUAAGCGGAAUUCCUGGUGUAGCGGUGAAAUGCGUAGAUAUCAGGAGGAACACCUGCGGUGUAGACGGCUUACUGGACCAUCACUGACGCUGAGGCACGAAAGCUAGGGGAGCGAACGGG